AGACCCUUGUUUUUUGUGAAGUUAUCUUGAGUGAGCUUUGCUGUUUUUGACUAGAAGACACUUGGAAAAUGCCCAAGAGUCUCCCUUCUAAUUCCAGGUUGAGAAGCGUGACUGGCGGCUUGACUGGCCUGAGACACGCCUAGUCACAGUGAUGCUGAGCCUUGCUGAGACUGAGCACCCACCUGCCGCCCACGUGUUCACCGCCGAGUGCCACCUGGCUGAAUGGACCCAAAUACGGCUUCUUCAGGACACUGCAAACUGUCCAUCUGUCUCACUGCUGUGACAAAAUAUGUGGGACUGCACAACAUAUAUGGAAAAGAACAUUCAGCACACAGCUGGAGCGUGGCUGAUAAGAGUGAGUACCUCGGUCUUAGUGUGU
rnacentral:lncRNA from 1 species